GAGCAUCCUCUCUAUAUGUAUAUAUAUAGAACACAUGCACACCACAAACAUAUUACAAAUCACAAAAACAUUCUCUCGAGAUCUUCUAACGCAUAUAUCCGGACACUCGCAAACCUAAAGUUCACGUAACAAUACGUCUAAACCCUAACCAUUAAUUCUCUGACUCUUAUCUCUUUUUCCGAGAUUCCUCAUCGAUGGCAAAAUCUUCUACUAUAAUCAGCUUCAUCACCCUCUUGCUCUUGGUGAGUUGCUUUGUCUUGCCUUGUGCGGCACGUGUUCGUCUUACUCUUGAUCAUGAGCACACGGGUGAUACCUUGGACGACGGAGACAAGGAGCAACAAGACCUAAUCUCGAGCUAUGAUGAUGAAGAUGAAGCAUCACGCCUUCCACCCUUCUUCGACACAGUUGAAGAAGAUGUCAUACGCAAUGAAUCUGAGCCCAUCUCGUUUACCGAACUGAUCGAGAGAGCCGAAUUUUCUGCCAUGAUGAGGCGAUAUCGAUCUUUAGAUCCUUGAUGAAGCCAAUACCAAUAAUGAUCUUAAAAGAUGCCUCUCUCUCUCUCUCUCUCUUUUCUUUUUUUCUUCGCUUUCAUUAGAACUUGUAAUAUUUAUUUUAGCAAAUUUAAAUGUUAUCCCAAGAGGAAUAAAUAUAUAUUUGAUAAA
rnacentral:lncRNA from 1 species